rnacentral:rRNA from 1 species
UGGGGAAUUUUGGACAAUGGACGCAAGUCUGAUCCAGCCAUGCCGCGUGCGGGAAGAAGGCCUUCGGGUUGUAAACCGCUUUUGUCAGGGAAGAAACGAGUUUCUCUAAUACAGAGACUUAAUGACGGUACCUGAAGAAUAAGCACCGGCUAACUACGUGCCAGCAGCCGCGGUAAUACGUAGGGUGCGAGCGUUAAUCGGAAUUACUGGGCGUAAAGCGUGCGCAGGCGGUUAUACAAGACAGAUGUGAAAUCCCCGGGCUCAACCUAGGAACUGCCUUUGUGACUGCAUAGCUAGAGUACGGUAGAGGGGGAUGGAAUUCCGCGUGUAGCAGUGAAAUGCGUAGAUAUGCGGAGGAACACCGAUGGCGAAGGCAAUCCCCUGGACCUGUACUGACGCUCAUGCACGAAAGCGUGGGGAGCAAACA